UCAGUGCAAAAUUUUCGGCCGUGUCCAA
rnacentral:sRNA from 1 species